rnacentral:rRNA from 1 species
GACGAACGCUGGCGGCGUGCUUAACACAUGCAAGUCGGACGAAGAGCGAUGGAAGCUUGCUUCUAUCAAUCUUAGUGGCGAACGGGUGAGUAACGCGUAAUCAACCUGCCCUUCAGAGGGGGACAACAGUUGGAAACGACUGCUAAUACCGCAUACGAUCUAAUCUCGGCAUCGAGGAUAGAUGAAAGGUGGCCUCUACAUGUAAGCUAUCACUGAAGGAGGGGAUUGCGUCUGAUUAGCUAGUUGGAGGGGUAACGGCCCACCAAGGCGAUGAUCAGUAGCCGGUCUGAGAGGAUGAACGGCCACAUUGGGACUGAGACACGGCCCAGACUCCUACGGGAGGCAGCAGUGGGGAAUCUUCCGCAAUGGACGAAAGUCUGACGGAGCAACGCCGCGUGAGUGAUGACGGCCUUCGGGUUGUAAAGCUCUGUUAAUCGGGACGAAAGGCCUUCUUGCGAAU